GAAAAAAUAGUUUUUCUAAUGAGCAAAAUGAUACCAGUAUCAAUUGCUAAGUAGAUAUUAUUAUGGCAUUAUAAGAGACUUCCAUGAAAACCUAACUAACUUGUUUGCAGUAUCAAGUAAUCACAAGUUCAAUUUUGAAAGAAGCACUCCCAUUUUCCGAAAGAAUCCUAAGAAGUAAUCUUCAUUCAAUUUAUCAAUAGUAGUGAUAGAAAGGGCAAUUAGUUUCAGGUAAUACUAUGUAUUUGAAAUGAUGAAUGGAAACUUGCAGUGUUACAGAACAUUACUACAAAAAAGUAACAAGAUGAUCAAAUAAGAAAGUUCUAUCUCCUAAUAUACAAAAUAUUGACAAGCAGUUCUAGAUUCUAAUACUACUGCUGUCACACGCUUGCUGCUGCCAAUGGGCCCAAGACUCAGCCCAAGGGAAGCCUCAACUUUUUGCCCAUCGCCAAUACUACUGCUGUCACACGCUUGCUGCUGCCAAUGGGUAGCAGCUGUGCUCCUCCUUUCAAGCCAUAUUUUUCAUUUAUAAUGACCCAUACGGACCAACUAUCAUCCAUAUGGGACCAACCAUAAAAAAAAAAAGACUUACAUCUGCCGCAUCUUCCUUCACCUCUUCCUUCACUUCAUUGAGAUUUUCUUCGUCAGCCAUGAUUUUACUCUAAUCUGCAACAAAAAAUUAUUUUUUAAAGAGAGAACAAAAAAUACGUAUCUAUAUCUUUCCAAACAGAUAUACAAAUGGCAAUCAAACAUUGAACAAAGAAAUAAAAAAUCUAAAAGAAAAAGGAAAUUUUUGAAAUUGAUUCGGAACAUCGUGAUGAUUCGAUACUUUCACGAUAUUAACAGAUCAGUCGGAGAAUUUUACCUCGGAUAUUGAAACUCAAACUCUGCGUUUGUGGACUGGUUGUUGUCGGUGAGAAGUAGAUUGACUGCAUCCCUUUUCUAACCUAGUAGAGAUUAUAUGAGCGUAAAGUUGGGCCCGAGACUCAACCCGUAGUGUAGUAAGCUUGGGCCAGUCCACUACCAAUUUGAAAGUCAAACUCCAUUUUAUUAUUUGACCAAAUUGGAGGCAGGUUUAUAUAAAUUUGGGAUGGAUUUUAAACUAGAUUACUUUUUUACAGAUUGCAGGCAGCUAUUUGUCAAGAAGCUGGUAUGCACGUAGUAAGAAUCGUUAUGUAGUUCUUCCAAAGGACUUUACUUUGACAAGGUGUAUAUAUACAACAAACGUAAAGAAACCAGACACUGACUUUGAUUUUUAUCUGCGACUUAUUUGUUUUAUUGUUCCUCUGCAAUCACAAUUAUGGCAAGGAAAUCAUGUCUCUCUAUCGACUUACUUACUGGUUAGUAAUAUUGAAUAUUGGGCUUCUGGUUGGUAACAAUAACAUCAUCUGAAUAUCUAAACACCUACUGCCUGAAAUUGCAUAACUAGUCAAGAAAAUAAUAAUAAUAAUAAUAAUAAUAAUAAUAAUAAAGAUUAGAGUUCAUUUGUCAGUAGAAGUCAUUCACUAAUCAGACCAAGGUUUCUAAAUCAAUUUAUCUAUUGGUAUCACCACCCUUUUUUGCUGCAUUCUGCUGCUGCCCAUAGGUAGCAGCCCUUGACCCCCUUCUUUCUAUUUUGCAACCUUUGAAACUUAAGUUCAGUUAUACCCAAUUUUAACAUAUUAUAUAUAGCAUAUGGAAGUAUUUCAAGCUUAUAAAAUCCCACCAUUUCAGUCUUAAAAUGCUGCCAAAACAGAAUCUCCAAAUGAAUUGACAUACUAAGUCUAUCUUUUCAUUGUUAAUUAAAAAUUGAGCUUUGUUCUAGCUUGACACACUCAAACCCUCUAAUUAGCAUCACAUAUGAUUAAUAAAUCAAGCCCAAGCUCUAAUUCUACCAAAGUUUUGAUUUUAGAUAAAAAUAGUUCAUUGGAGCAUUCUAACAAACAGCUUACAUUCACAGUUUUAAAACACUCUUUUCAUAGCUAUUGGUUUGUUUUAAAAACCCAGUUUAGCUCCCUUAUUGCUCCACACAAACCAGCCUAUUCUCCUUUGUUCUAUUCCAGUCUGUUGGAAGAAUGCAUAUCUUGAUUUGAUGUUUAAAGCAAAUACUCAUGAUUAUAUGUAAAGCCCUUCAAGGAAUAUAUGUACAAGGGCUUAGUCAUAGAUCAAAUUUGUUUGGUUGAUCUUAGCUUUUAAUGUUCAUCAUUCUGUAAUCGAAUGUAUAGAUUAAGAGAUCAAAGAUGUUAGGUUGAUCUAUGACUUGUAACGAAUAGAUAGGCUUUCAACAAGAAUCGUAGCCUAUCAAGCUGUCUAACAGAUUACAGAAGCUAAGGCAGGAUCGUAAAGCUUAGCAGAUCGUAGUGUAUCUGCCUUAGAGGACCUCUUCAGGAAUCGUAGAGUAAUCCAGACAUUUACCGAAGCUAACUCAGAGAUCAUAGUGUGCUUUCAGAAACGUAGAGUCUACAAGAUGAACAAGUAAAGAUCGUAGUGUGCAAAGAUCAUAGUGUGCAAUUUCUUGAAAGGAAUCGCAGUGUUCAGACCAAGCACAAAUAUGACAAGACACCACCAUAUGGAUCGUAGAGUAUCAUCGCUCUUGUGUCAGAAGCAUCGAGCUCUAUCUUCUGUUUGGAGAUAAAUUCCAACAAAUAAGAAAUGGGUUUCAAACGUUAAAGCACUCACCAUUCCCAACGGUACAAAAGAUAUCCUUAGUAUUCAUCAAAAGGAACGUGUUCAAGAAGAUAAGAAAAGGACCAUUGGGUAGAGGAAAACACCUUUUCAGGUGUUAGAUGAGAAAGCAGUCUACCAUGUCAGUGGGCCAGAAUGAAAUUCAGAAGAUGUACAGAAAUGUCUCCAUCAAAGCUCAGAAAUGUCAAACGCAUUUAAUGCUUCAUCAGAUGACUUCAACGGAUAGAUUUAAAAGGUCACAUAUAUACAGAAUACAGACAUAUGAGAGAUAGUAGCAAGUAUUGAACAAAACGCACAAAAACACUUAACGCUCAACUCUACGAUCUGAGAAAAAGGGGAAGCUUGCUCAGCUACUCAGUUCUUUCGAACAAGUGCUUAACUGCAACUGAGUAGCCUCAAUCACAACUCAAUAACUAUCAAUCAACUGAAGUAAAAGUUCCAAGUUAAAAGGACUUGAAGAGUUCUAAGUGAACUGUGAAGAGCCAAGUCUGCUGGACUUGAAGAGUUCAAGAGUGAACUUAGAAGUGCCUAGACUGACCGGUCUAGAAGGAAUCUGUGAGAUUCAGAAAGUGUAAAAGACAUCCUUAGUGGAUUUCCUACUAGAGGAGUAGAAGAGUGGACUAGGAGCUUUAAGUGCUCCGAACCACUUAAAAACAACUGUUUCUAUUUAUAACUGCUAUAACUGCCUUACUCUCAUUAACUCAAGAUAUCUAAAAGAAUGUGUAUCAUAUACUCACUCCGAUGUGCAUUAAUCAAUCAUUCUAACUGGUUCAAAAGAAAAGUUUUUUAAAUAUCUAUUCAACCCCCCCUUCUAGAUAACUAUUGUGCCUCCGGGAACUAACAAUUGGUAUCAAAGCAGGUUCUAUAAUACAGCCUACAAAGCUUAAGUAGAUCCAAUGGCACACUUACCAAGCAAAUCAAAGACUGGAGGAGGCAGCAAGCCACCUAUGUACAACAAAGAUAAAUUCACUAACUGGAAGGUUAGGAUGCAAGCUUACAUGGAUUCAAUUGAUGAAGAUCUAUUUGAAACUGUUCAAAAUGGGCCCUACGUUCCUACAAAGCUUGCACCAACUACAGAGGACCUAAACAAAAUACAGAUCAAGGUCAAAGGAGAAUGGACAGAGAAGGAGAAAAGAGUUGUCCAGCUUGACAAAAAGGCCAAGAACAUCCUAUUUCAAUCAUUAGAAGAUGAUCUAUUUGAAAACGUGGUCAACUACAAAACAACAAAGGAGGUUUGGGAAGCACUGCUUAUUAUGCAUGAAGGAACAGAAGAAGUCAGAGAAAACAAACAAUCUCACGUUCAAAGAGAGAACGUCACUGCCACAUACGAGAGAUUCAAUAUUCUGCUCAACUCUCUACGAGCCUAUGGAAAGAUCUAUCCAAACAAAGAUCUGAUCAUAAAGUUCAUGAGAGCUUUACUAAGCAAGUGGGAUGCCAAAACCACUGUUAUUAGAGAAUCAAAGAAUCUACAUGAAAUGACUGUUCAACAAUUAUAUGGCAACCUCCUCACGUACGAACUGGAGCUAACACAACGAGCAGAAACGUUGUCUGAAGGAAGAAAGAAGGAUAAAGGUGUUGCUCUCAAAGUAACCGAAAACAUCUCCAAAGUCAACACUGAAAUUGAUUUUGACUACGAUGAAGAUGAUGAUGAGGACUUUGCAAUGCUGGUUAAAAGACUAAGAAGAUUCAUGCGACAAGGCAAAACCAGCAAGCCAAAGAAAGUUAGCAACUACAACAGCCAGGAGCAAAUGAAUGACCUAUGCUACAACUGCAAGAAACCUGGUCACUUCAUUGCCAACUGCAACAAACCUCUCAGAGAAGAACUCAAGAAGAAAUCACAUGCAAAGAAGGAAUACAAAGGCAACAAAAGGCCAGUAAAGAAAGACAAAGGCCUUGUAGCCGGAGGAUCGUGGAGUGACUCUGAUAAUGACUCAACUCUAGAAUCUGGAGAUGACGAAGAUCCUCAAAUGGUUAAUCUCUACCUGAUGGCCAAAGAUGCAAGGGACAAACAGAACUCCAACAUACAUGAAGUAAGUAUCGAUGAGGUAUUUGACUUCAAUUCUCCUGAUGUAGAUAUUGAUGACCUUAGAACUGCAUUACAUGGCAUAACAUCUGAUCUGCACCAAUACAUGAAGUGGUUUAAAGUUUUGUCUAAAGACUAUUCACUUCUUCAAAAGGAGAAAGAAAAGGUUCAAGAGGAACUAGAAACAGCCCUUCUCAGUACUGAUUCUCUCUCCAAGUUUGAAGCUGAGAAUAAGCUCUUGAGACAGGAAAAUGAGCUCAGUACUCAAAGAGAGUCUAGUCUAACCUCUAAGAUUGCGGAUCUAGAAAAGACAGUCUCUACAUGGAAUAAAUCCUCUUCAUUCAUGGACUCCUUAAUCUCUAACCAGAGAAGUGUCUCUGAUAGAACAGGGUUAGGCUUUGGGGAAUCUCCCUCAGAGUCAUGUGUGGAAAAAGCAAAGGAAACUAGCACUGGUAAUGUCUCAGGUUUCAAUAGAGGCAUUAUAUUUGUGAAAUCCUCACAGAAGGAUAAGCCUGUCAAGCCCUGCCCAGCUGAUUCAAUUCAUAUUCCCAAGAGUAAGGGAUCUCAUGCUGGUCUAGGUUUUAGAAAAGAGAAGAGUAAUCUAGCUACUACUCAUCAACCUCGAAGGAUCGUAGAAUCCAAUAAAACCAACUCUACGAACUAGCCAGGAAGAUACAGUAGAAGUAAGAUACACUCCUCACAAAUAAUGAAACAAAAGAACGCAUGGAAAAGGGAAUAUCAGCCUAGCAAGAGGAUGACCAAUAACCCACAAAAGUCUAAAUGGGGGAAGAACUUUCACACACACACACUAGCAUACAUCAUAUCAAAUGUUUGUGUGCUACAGAGUUGGCCACAAGGCUGCAAAGUGUCAGUAUAAUUCCAUACAUGUGAGACCCAAAAUCAAGCAGAUUUGGGUCCCCAAGGGUACUAACAUAGUAGGACCCAUGCAAGUAUGGGUACCAAAAUGAAGGUUUAAUGUUACCUCAGGAAAAGAGCUCCACGAACACAACUUGGUAUCUGGAUAGUGGAUGUUCAAGACACAUGACUGGGAACAAAGCCCUUCUGUCCAACUACAUAGAGAAGGAGGGUCCCUCGGUCAUCUUUGGAGAUAAUGGCUCUGGCAAGACAAGAGGCUAUGGCUUAACUGGAAAUGGUGUGGUAUCCUUUAGCAAGGUGGCCUAUGUGGAAGGACUACAACACAAUCUUCUAAGCAUUAGCCAACUCUGCGACAAGGGCCAUCAAGUAACAUUUCUCAACAAUCAAUGUCAUGUUCGAGACCUGAAGACAUCUGCAGUGAAGCUAACCGGAAUAAGAGAAGGAAAUGUCUACACAGUAAAUCUUGGAACACUGAGCUCAGAAGAGACAAUAUGCUUUCUGGCUAAGGCUUCUGAAGAAAUGAGCUGGUUAUGGCAUCGAAGACUGUCUCAUCUCAACUUCAAAAGCAUGUCCAAAUUAGCUUCAAAAGAUCUAGCUACAAGCUUACCCAAGUUUAACUUCGUUAAAGAAAGGUCGUGCAAUGCCUGCCAACUUGGAAAACAGACCAGAAGCACAUUCAAGAGCAAAUCUGUCAACUCAAUUGACAAGCCGUUGCAGCUGCUACACAUGGAUCUAUUUGGGCCAAUUCUAACAACGAGCCUUGGAGGAAAGAGAUACUCUCUGGUCGUAGUUGAUGACUUCACCAGAUUUACAUGGGUGUUCUUUCUAACCUCGAAAGAUGAGACAAGUUCCCAGCUGAUCAAAAUGUUCAAGCUUGUGAUGAACGAGAAAGGAGAGAAAAUCAAGGCUAUAAGGAGUGAUCAUGGUAGAGAAUUCGACUUCUCAGAAAUGGACCAAUUCUGCACAGACAAUGGCAUUAGUCACAACUUCUCAGCUCCACGAACUCCUCAACAAAAUGGAGUUGCUGAUAGAAAGAACAGGACAUUAAUAGAGGCUGGAAGGACUCUACUAGCAGCAGCUCAUCAGCCUGAGUACUUCUGGGCAGAAGCGGUCAACACUGCAUGUUAUACUCAGAACAGAUCACUCAUACACUCUACGAUUAAGAAGACUCCCUAUGAACUGUGGAAAGGAAUAAAACCUAGUGUCAGCUACUUUCAUAUCUUCAGUUGUGCAUGUUACAUUCUCAACAAUGGAAAGCAAUACUUGACAAAGUUUCAACUGAAAUCAGAUGAAGGAAUCUUUCUUGGAUAUGCCACAGACAGUAAAGCUUACAGAGUGUUUAACAAAAAGACACUGAGCGUUGAAGUCUCGAUUCACAUCAUCUUUGAUGAAACAGACCUAGACAAAACAAUGCCUUAAGACACUAUGACUAACAGUUCAGACACUACGAACGAGGUCAUCGAGCCCAAUACUGCGAUCGUAAUGCCUGACAAUGAAAUCGUUGAUCAAGGGAAUGAGAUCGUAGAGAGGCCUAUGCCAGACAAUGAACAUCCACAUCAAGAAGAAGAAAUAGAUCUUGAAGAUCUGAGAUAAGAAGGCAGAAGAACUGAUGUCCCAACAGGAAGCAGAUGGGCAAGAGAUCACACUCAAGAUCUAAUCAUUGGAGAUCCGAAUGCAAGAGUCAAAACAAGAGUUUCUACUCAAAAUGAAUGCUUCUAUCUAAGCUUCCUAUCUCAAAUAGAACCAAAGAAGAUAGAGGAUGCUAUGAAAGACUCCAGCUGGAUAGAGGCCAUACAAGAAGAACUUAAUCAGUUCGAAAGAAGUAAAGUAUGGAGAUUGGUUCCAAGACCAAAAAAUCAUCCUGUUAUUGGAACCAAGUGGGUUUUCAGAAACAAGAUGGAUGAAGAUGGAGUCAUCACCAGGAAUAAGGCAAGACUAGUGGCCAAGGGCUACUCUCAGGAAGAAGGCAUUGACUACGAUGAGACAUUUGCACCUGUUGCUAGACUGGAAGCCAUCAAAAUAUUUCUUGCCUUUGCUGCUCACAUGAAAUUCAAGGUCUUUCAGAUGGAUGUCAAGAGUGCAUUUUUGAAUGGAGAACUCCAAGAAGAAGUCUAUGUAGAACAGCCUCCAGGUUUCAUCAAUCCAUCUCUUUCUAAUUAUGUCUUUAGACUAGACAAAGCCUUAUAUGGUCUUAAACAAGCACCUAGAGUAUGGUAUGAAACAUUAACUAACUUUCUUAUUGAAAAUGGAUUCACUAGAGGUAGAGUAGAUACCAUACUAUUUCUUAGAAAACAUAAAGAUAAGUCCUAUUAGUUCAAAUUUAUGUUGAUGAUAUUAUCUUUGGGUCUACUAAUGAAAAGCUAUGCAAGAGAUUCUCCAAGCUUAUGCAGAGAAAGUUUGAAAUGAGCAUGAUGGGUGAGCUGAACUUCUUCCUUGGACUACAAGUAAAGCAGACUGAUGAAGAAAUCUUCAUUAACCAAGCCAAGUACAUUAAAGACCUACUUAAGACGUAUGGCAUAGAGUCAGCCUCUCCCAUGAAAACCCCAAUUUCUCAUGCAACCAAGCUUGACAAAGAUGAAAAAGGUAAAAGUAUUGAUAUAACUCAAUACAGAGGUAUGAUAGGUUCUCUUUUAUAUCUAACUGCCAGUAGACUAGAUAUAAUGUUUGCAACAUGCAUUUGAGCUAGAUUUCAGGCUAGUCCAAAAGAAUCCCAUUUAACUGUUGUAAAGAGGAUUUUCAGGUAUCUCAAAGGUACACCCCACUUGGGGCUUUGGUAUCCCAAGGAGUCCUCAUUUGAGCUAUCAGGAUACACAGAUGCUGAUUUUGCAGGCUGCAAAAUUGAUAGAAAAAGUACUAGUGGCACCUAUCAAUUGCUAGGAAACAGACUCGUGUCCUGGUUUAGCAAGAAACAAAAUUCAGUAUCUACUUCAACUGCAGAAGCUGAAUACAUUGCUGCUGGCAGUUGCUAUGCUCAGAUCUUAUGGAUGAAAAAUCAACUAGCAGAUUAUAGGUUUGAAUUCAAAUCCAUACCUAUUCACUGUGAUAACACAAGUACAAUUGCUAUAACUCACAAUCCUGUCAUACAUUCUAGGACUAAGCAUAUAGAAAUAAGGUAUCACUUCAUUAGGGAUCAUGUGCAAAAUGGAACUAUAUCUUUACAAUAUAUCCCUACUGAGAAUCAACUUCCUGAUGUCUUUACAAAGCCUCUAGAUGAAUCCAGAUUUAAAAUGUUAAUAAGUGAGCUAGGCAUGCUUAACUUAUAACCAUGAAAAAUAUGCUCUAGUAUGUGCUAACCAUACAGGUUUAAAGGCUAUGUUUGAAAUCAUAAGCAUGAUCAAAUGAAAUCCACUAUCGUAGAACCAAAGUGUCACAAAAUGACAACGAUGGCAGUAAAGACUUAACGAUCAUGGUGCAGAUUCAACGAUAGCAGAGCUACAUCAACAAACCAAAGGAGCACCCUAUGAUGAUCAAACAUAAAUCAAAGCAAUCUUUCUGAUAAGUACCUCAGGGACAAACCUAACCCUUGAUUCAAUCAAUGAGGUUAGCCCUUCCUGAGCUACCUUAAACUAAGAAGAAUGCUAAGUCAAAAAGUUCAUCACGAGGACUAGUUUAGACUCAAUGAUCGCAGUUCAAACUCUACGUUUACAGGUCAGACACGACGACUGCUACACAGACUCAAUAAUGGUAGAACAGACGAUUCCAAGGACCAUCUCAACGAUCGUAGUCCUACACUAAGAAUAUAUCAACCCAAAAAAAGUCAAGGGUAAUUUAAUACAAUCCCUCUCUGUCAAAUUCGUAGAGCCAAGCAAAAUUCGAUACUUGUCCCACUAAGCAAAAUGGAGAGAGGGAAGUUACUUGUACCAUUUGAAGGCGCCCUUUUGAAACCAGAAGUUCAAAAGCUUAUCCCUCUCCUUAUGUCUAUAAGAAGAAACCCUAAGCUAUCUAGAAAGCUCAGUAAACCACACUUCCUGCAAGAAAAUUAAUGGCGGCUUCUAGUGUUAUCUCCGGCUACAGACUCUGUUUUGACGAGUUUAAAUCAGCUGAACCUCAAUUUCACAAGACGUUGUCGCUACUGAAGAAGGCAGGUCUCGAAGAAGCCUUGGGUACAGACACAUUUAUUUACCCAAAGCUGGUAAAAGAAUUCUACAAUAAUGGGGUAUUUGAAAACAACACCAUCACUGCGAAAGUCAGGAACGUCCAAAUCAGACUAAAGGCUGAGGACAUCAAUCUAGCCCUAGGUCUCAAAUCUGAAGGGUAUCCGUCCUUAGAUGGCAUAGACUUCCAUAAGGGUCUCAAGAAGAUGCAUCACAAGAAAUCACCCUCUGUCAAAGGAUACAAGAAGAAGGAGUUUCCACAGAGGUAUGAGUUUCUAGCUGAUAUUGUUGGAAAAUGUAUAUGUUGUAAGAUCUCAGGUCAUGACUCUGUGAAUGAGGUACAACUCAAACUCAUGACUUCCAUAUGUUAUAAAAUACAACUUAACUAUGGGGUUCUAUUACUUAAAUGGAUUGGGAAGUGGUUAAUCAGCUCAAAGAAAACAAAGAGCUCACAGAAGAUGCUCUACGGACGAUUUAUAAGCAUUAUCCUAAAGGCUACUCUUGGUGACCUAAUUGAGGAUGAUGAAGGAGAAGACAUCAAUCCAAAUCGAUGAAUGUCCCAACAAUUAUUUGAAAACUGGAAAAGGAAUCCAGUUGAAAAUGUGAAGAUGAUGUCUGAAUCCAGUGGUAGAACUGGUGAGAUAAAGGGAUCAGGAGUACCAGGAAAUAUAUCUGUUGUCAGAGAAACUGAGGAAGAAGAAGAAGAAGAAGAAGAAGAAGAAGAAGAAGAAGAAGAAGAAGAAGAAGAAGAAGAAGAAGAAGAAGAAGAAGAAGAAGAAGAAGAAGAAGAAGAAGAAGAAGAAGAAGAAGAAGAAGAAGAAGAAGAAGAAGAAGAAGAAGAAGAAGAAGAAGAAGAAGAAGAAGAAGAAGAAGCUUACAAAGAAGAACCCAUUGCUUUGGUCAGAAAAAGCAAGGGCAAAAGAAAACUGAUAACCAGAAGUACAGAAGAACCUCAGGGAUCCACUACCAACAAGCCUGUAGAGUCAUCAGACAUUGAGACUCUAAGGAUCCUAAGAAGAAAGGAACAGCAGGCUGAGGUAGAAGAAGAUAGAGCAACCAUAUCUCAGCUGAAGAAGAAUAAAAUCAGCCACAAGACCAAAAGGCCAUCAAUCUCAAUGAUCGUAGAGUCUCAGUCGAUCGUAGAGACCAGACCAAACAAGGAAGUAGCUGCAACAAACAUUUUGGCUGAUCAGAAGGAUAAAAUUAAAGAAAGUUCUGAGGUUGAGGCUCAGCCUAGAAAGCCAAGAAGAAAAUUGGUCAAGAAAUACAUUCUUGUCAAUGAAGAAGUGCUAAAAAGGGAAGCCAAAGAAUUAGGUGCUAAAAAGGAACCAGUAAAUGAAAGCCAAGAAGUCAUGGCUCCUGCUGAGGGGGAGAUGCCUGAAGAUCUUAUGCUAGAAGAUGCUCCAGCUGAGGGGGAGCUGCUAGAAGAUGCUCCAGCUGAGGGGGAGCUGUUGAUCGUACAAAAAAAUGAUCAAGCUAAGGGGGAGGAUCAUGACACCUCCAUGGCAGAAAAAGAGACUCCUGCAGGAAAUGAUGAAGAACCAGUACAAGAACAUCCUGAGGCCAUUGACAUAAUGGAAUCCUCCAGUGAAAAUAGAGGAGAAGAUGAUGAGGUCGAGAUCAUAGCUGUAGGCAUUAAUGGGCAUAGAAGAGCCAACUAUGAGUAACUGUUUGCAUAUCUUCCCAUGAUGCCUUUCCACCAAGCUUAAAUUCUGAACUCUUGGGAUCACAUGUUCUGGAGCUGCAAAGAGUAUCCGGCCAUCUAAGUGCUAGCUAAUGGAUUUCCAGGAAGAAUCAACUUUGCCAAAAAGUUACUUACAAACAAAUCUUCCUUACAGAAUGAAUCUGAGGUACUGUCUAUUCCAACUCUAUUUAGAGUCAAUCACUUGCCAUCAUCUUCAUUCAAUCAAUUUUAUGAAUUCCCACAAUGGUUGGAAGUAAUUCUUCAUCCAAGAAACCAAUUUCCAGUUGCAGAAUCCCAAAGUUCUAUAACUGAGGAACCAAAUAAGAUCAACUCCCUAAUGCUCUCACAUCCCAUCUCUACAAUCAUUGACUCUAGCCCCAUGGUAGAGUCUCUACCUCAAAUCGUAGAGUCACCAACCUUUAACCUCCAAACCCAACAAUGAAUAUUUCAAUCUUGAACUUGCCUUCUACUCAUUGCAAGAUCAAUUUAAGAGCACAUCACCUCCCUCACAAACUCCCCAUCUAAAUGAACUCCUAUCAGAACUAUCCACAAAGGCUGAUUUGUUAGCAAUGUCUGAGAAAGUGAUCAAGGAACUCGACGAGAGUCUUAAAGAUCAUACUACACUUAUACAGCUGAGAUUGACAUCAAUGAUCAAUGCUGCAAACAAUCUCCCAAGCUCCCUAAGCUCUGAGCUUUCUAAAACGCUCAAAGAGAUCAUCAAAGAAAUGCUUCAAAGCAUAAAAGAUAGGGACGAUAUUCACUUUCUUGCAGCUAAAAAACAUCGGGAUGCUGUCUUGAUCUUACAGAAAACUCAAGAAUCUCAGAACAAUCUAACGAUACAGAGCAUCAAAAGUCUUCAAACUGCAAUCAAAGAAUUUCAAGACUUCUCCAUGGAUCAAAUGAAGCAGACUGAAAUUGUCCUCAACAUUCUUCAACGACGUGAAACUCGUUCUGAUGCUUUGAUCCAAGAGAAUCGUGAGGACAUUGCUCAAACUCAGAGUCAACUCAACGAGCUUGUCCAAGGAGUCACUCGCCUCUCAGAAGACAUUCGAACCCUUGAUGCUGACAUAAAGGGGGAGAAUAAAUGGAAAGGAGAUCAGGGAGGCAAGGGAAAAGGCAGAAGUCAACUCCAACCUCACUCCUCAAGGAAUCCUCCUGCAAGGCAAAUCCACCAGCAGACUCCACAAUCCAGCCAUCAGACUUAACGAUCUGAUCAACAGGAAGUUUUAAUGGCUCAACCUUUAAGGAGUCUAGGGCCAACGACCAGCUCUCAUAAGGUAAUAACAACAGGCCUAAGAAUGCCAAUUGGAGAUCCUGCAUUCAUGAAUAGGCAUGAUCACAAUCCUAGACUAAGCCCAAGUGAACUGGAAGACUUAGCAGAAGGGAUAAAGCCAGCAGAAAAAGGAGAGCUGAGGAAUAUGCAAACCCUCUGAGAAGCAAAAGGCCGAAGAAAUAAAGAUAAGUUGAAUUUUAAUUCUUAUUGAUGUAGUCAAAUUUAAAUGUAACAUCUAUCCUCAUACAUCAAUAAAUUCAUGCCUCAUACAUCAAUAAAUUCAUGCUUAUUCUCUAGAAAUUUCAGCUGCUCACUGAAAUACUAAGUCAUAUUUACUUUGCUGCAACUGUAUUUAAUGCUUAUUCUCUAGAAAUUUCAGCUGCUCACAGAAAUGUCUCCAUCAAAGCUCAGAAAUGUCAAACGCAUUUAAUGCUUCAUCAGAUGACUUUAACGGAUAGAUUUAAAAGAUCACAUAUAUACAGAAUACAGACAUAUGAGAGAUAGUAGCAAGUAUUGAACAAAACGCACAAGAACACUCAACGCUCAACUCUAUGAUCUGAGAAAAAGGGGAAGCUUGCUUAGCUACUCAGUUCUUUUGAACAAGUGCUUAACUAAAACUGAGUAGCCUCAAUCACAACUCAACAACUAUCAAUCAACUGAAGUAAAAGUUUCAAGUCAGAAGGACUUGAAGAGUUCUAAGUGAACUGUGAAGAGCCAAGUUUGCUGGACUUGAAGAGUUCAAGAGUGAACUUAGAAGUGCCUAAAUUGACCGGUCUAGAAGGAAUCUGUGAGAUUCAGAAAGUGUAAAAGACAUCCUUAGUGGAUUUCGUACUCGAGGAGUAGAAGAGUGGACUAGGAGCUUUAAGUGUUCCGAACCACUUAAAAAUAACUAUUUCUAUUUAUAACUGCUAUAACUGCUAUAACUGCCUUACUCCCAUUAACUCAAGAUAUCUAAAAGAAGGUGUAUCAUAUACUCACUCCGCUGUGCAUUAAUCAAUCAUUCUAAUUGGUUCAAAAGAAAAGUUUUUUAAAUAUCUAUUCAACCCCCCCCCCCUUCUAGAUAACUAUUGUGCCUCCAGAAACUAACACCGUCCAAUAGCAGUUGGCUUCACAGUUAAACCAAACAUAUUGACUGUGAGCAAUAAUUAAAUACCUACUAACCUUUCAUUAUUUUAAAGGUUUGAUAUCAACAAACUAACAGUGAGUUUUUAAUAACCCAUGCAUGGUCAAUUGCUAUGAAAAUUAAGCUUAUCAAUUGUCUUACCAACUACAAUAAUUCAACCAUUUAACCCGCAACAACACAAUAUAAGCAUAAUAAGAUACCAUACAAUAUAAGCAUAAUAAAAGGUUAACUUCAAAUAACUUAACUCAUAUAGAAAGAGGCAAGUUAUUCCUUAGGUACAUAGAUUGAAGAGUUGGAGAAGUUGGCGAGUGCAACAAGCAAGAGGAGAAAUUCUGGUAUGGCUUAGCUAGGUGAGGAGUCAGGUGAAGAGAGAAAGAAAACAAGGAAGUUUCCGGUAUGGCUUAGCUAGGUGAGGAGUCAGAUCACCGCCGUCGUCGUCGGGUUAUAUGAAUCCGUAACCCUUCUACUCGUUAAACCGAAACACCACACCUCGAGAUCUGAUAUUCUCCUCCUCCAUUGAUGAUCCAGACCCUAAUCCAACCUCUUGUAGAACCAAUUUGUUACUAUAUAUCUCGCGAGAGAGUAAUAAAUAGAAAGAAAAGUAAAGGAAGCCCUAAUUCACUCGUUUACAUAAGGGGAGAGCUGCUUCAGUUGUUUGGAAGACUAGGAGGCGGGGAGGGUUUUUAAUUUCAAUAACCUCCAUGUUUUUCAUAUACAUAACGUUUUUUUAAAAUUAAAAAUUGUCCUUAUAAAUAGAUAACAUUUUUUAUAUGUAUCUACAACGUUUUGUUAAAAAACGUUGUUAAAAAAAAUACCACAACGUUUUUUAUAAAAACGUUGUUGUUUAAGUGUUGUCUAUUUACUGUUUUGUAGUAGUGUUUCUAAACAUUGUCAAUAAUGCUAUCUAAUAAUAUUAUUCAAUUAAUAUGAAUUAUUAAUUUGAUAAUGGGAAAUACUGUGCAAUGACAAUUAUUGAAACAAUAAUAAUAUAAAAUAUCAACGCAGCAAUUAUUGAAUCAAUAAAAUAAAAUAUUGAACAGUAAUUACUGUAACAAUUAUUGAGUAGUGUCUUCUUACGUAAGAAUCAAUAAUUCUAAAAAUACUGUGCAAUACCGUGUGCUACUAUGCAACCACGCGUAUUACUGUAUUUUAACCACCAGGUAUUCCAACAGUGUUAACGGUAACAAUUACGCCGUUAUUUUAUAAAAACUCAUACUUUGUCGUUUUCCUUCAUCCAACCGUUUUUCGUUAUGGGGCCCACAAAUGGCUGCGCCGUCGUACGAAUAUUUCCCGACAACAAGAAUAUUUCACGACCAAACGAAUAUUCCCCGACAAUAAUGAAUAUUUUAUAACCACUUGCUUAUUUUGUAAAAUUUGCACAUUUCACCCAUAACCAAAGCAUUAUAUCAAAUUAACACCUUAUUAAUUUAGAAUAAUGAAUAGAGGAAAAUUUAAUUUUAUUUAUAAUAAGUUGGUGUCUUACAUAUUGUCUAGAUGACAAUAUUCUUGUUUAAACUCUCAGCUAUGUUUUGUCGUAUUUUACACGACUGUUGUAUAAUUAAGUUGUAUUUGAAUUUAUGUACCAUGUAUCUGGAGACCCAAGAUGGGUGAUGUAUACCUCUUUUGGGGGCGUCACAACAAGUUAAGAUUUUGUGGAGGAAUCAUGCUAUUGAAGAAAUGACCUGGGAGUUGGAAUCAGAAAUGAAAGCGAGGUACCCUCACCUUUUCGAAAUACCAGGUACGUACGUCAAUUUCGAGGAUGAAAUUUCAUAAGGAGGGGAGGUUGUAAGACCCCAAAUUGUUUUUAAUAAAAUAGAAUUUCUUCUAUUUAUUAUUUUGAAAUAGUAGGGUUGAUUUGAUUAAUGUGGUUAGUUAUGGGUAAAAUGUGCAAUUAUUUCAAAUAAGCAAGUGGUUAUAAAAUAUUCAUUGUUAUCGGAGAAUAUUCGUUUGGUCGUGGAAUAUUCUUACUGUCGGGGAAUAUUCGUACGACGGCGCAGCCUUGUGUGGGACCCAUAACAGAAAGCGAUUGGAUGAAGAAAACAACAAGUUUGAGUUUUUAUAAAUAACGACGUAGUUGUUACCGUUAACACUGUUAGAAUACCCGGUGGUUAAAACACAAUAAUACGCGGUGUUGCACAGUAAAACACGAUAUUGGACCAAUUAUUGAUUCUUACGUAAGAAUGCACUACUCAAUAAUUGUUACAGUAAUUACUGUUCAAUAUUUUAUUUUAUUGAUUGAAUAAUUGAUACGUUGAUAUUUUAUAUUAUUGUUAUUUCAAUAAUUGUCAUUACACAGUAUUUCAAAUUAUCAGAUCAAUAAUUCAUAUUAUUUGAAUAAUAUUAUUAGAUAGCAUUAUUGGCAAUAUCUAAAGAAGUUCUAUCUAUGGAGAGGUUUGGUCACCUAAUUGUGCGCUAGUAAGGAGAAAUCUUUAUUAGAAAGUGUGACGCCCCCAAAAUAGGUAUACAUCACCCAUCUUGAGUCGCCAAAUACAUGGUACAAAAUUCAAAUACAACUUAAUAAUAUAGCUGUCGUGUAAAAUAUGACAAAGCGUAAACUGAGAGUUUUAAUAAGAAUAUUAUCAUCUAGACAAUAUCCACACUGAAAAGAGUCCUUAUUACAUUUAUUUUCACACUAUUUAACAGAAUAGUGAGGACUACUAAUACUAUCAUCUGGACCGUCACUUCGUUCCUCGACUAGUCCGGGCUACGUUCUCAUUUCCUGAAGAGAACAGUGAAAGAAAGGGUGAGCUCAACUAGCCCAGUAAGAAAUAUUAUCACUAAGAUAAUGCAGAAUAAAUUAUCGUUAGCCUUCAACAGUGUUAAACUGAUAAAAUAUAACAAACAUCAAGUUUAACUGCAGCGGAACAAGCAAUCCAUUAAAAGAGUCAAGUAGAGAAUAAAAUCUACUAUCUUUUAUGAUUUAAAAGGUUUUUCAUCACUUUUAUCGCUGAGACUCAGCUUAAUAAAUAAUCCACAUCAUCCUUGCACUAUGGCAAAGGAUAUUCCUUAGUAUCACAACCAUAAAUUAUCCAUGCACUACGGCCAAGGAUAUUCGUGUAUUCAUCAAUGGUUAUGAUCAUGCCAACAACUGUCCAUCAAUGCACUACGGGCCAAUGAGGACUUUUUCCACAUCAUUUGUAACAUUAUGGUCAUGAUUACGCCGAAUAAUCCCUGGUCAUAAUCAUACCAAGUCCAUCUAUGCACUACAGGCCACAAAUGACUUUCAACAUAAUAUAAACAUGAGGAUGAUGACAAUGAUAUAAGAAUUCAAUAAAAACAAGUUCAAGAAUUAAUUUAUCCAGGAACUAAUAACGUCCAAAUUGUCAACAUGAUACUUCUUUGUAAAGUAAAAUUCAAGAAUGCUCGAAGAAUAUUUCCAUGGAAAGAUACUGGAUGAAGCGCAAAUAUCAAGGAUAUUCCACUAAUUUCAUGGAGUAUUGAAGUCAAAACUUUAACCAACUAAGUAUAAUAAAGAAUGGAAUAACAAAAGAAAUCACCAUGCAUGCGAUAGACCGCACAGACAGGUUAUUCCAACAGAAUAAUAAUUAAUGGAACUAGGUCAUGCGUAAUUGCACAGACAUGAUACUCCAACAGAAUAAUAAAUAACGGAACCAGGUCAUGCGUAAAGAACAGACAAGAUGUUCCAACAGAAUAAUAAAUAACGGAACCAGGUCAUGCGUAAACCACAGAAAGGAUGUUCCAACAGAAUGAUAAAUAACGGAACCAGGUCCGGUGAAAUUCGCACCGACAGGAUGUUCCAACAGAAUAAUAAAGAAUGGAAUAACAAAAGAAUUUCACCAUGUAUGCGGUACUUCGCACAGACAUGUUAUUCCAACAUAAUAAUAAAGAAUGGAACAACAGAAGAAUUUCACCAAGUAUAAGGAAGUCUGCGUAUACAGGUUAUUCCAACGGAAUAAUAAAGAAUGGAAUAACAGAAGUUCUCUUCAUGAAUACAAAAGAAAUAAUACCCCUUACCUUCUAAAGAUGAGUACUCCGACGGGUAGGGUGGGGAUAUACUUGAAGAAAACUUGCACUACGCUCAAAGCUUUCUUAAAUUCUAAAGAAAUACGCUCAAGAUUAUAGAAGAGAAUUCUCUGAAAUUUAUGGUGUGUUUUUAAUUCUAACUAAGCAUCUUAUUUAUAGGAGAAUGAAAGGGCACUAUUUAAGAAAAAUAUCACGGACGCAACAGUUUUAUAACUCACGGAUGAUUUACCAACUUUGCAGGCAAUUGAAAUUUCAAACCAAAUCAAGUAAGAACAAAAACCAAAAACAUAAUAUAUAUAUAUAUAUAUAUNNNNNNNNNNNNNNNNNNNNNNNNNNNNNNNNNNNNNNNNNNNNNNNNNNNNNNNNNNNNNNNNNNNNNNNNNNNNNNNNNNNNNNNNNNNNNNNNNNNNAAUUAGGUGACUAAACCUCUCCUUGGAAGAACUUCUAGACAUCGUUAAUAUUGCAAAUAAUAAUAUUAAUAACUCUGUCAUCUCAAUUAUUGAUUUAAAAAUAUAUAAAAUAUUGACAAUAAUUGAAUCAAAUAACGUGAGAUACUAUGCAGCAAUUACUAUAGCAAUAAUUGAACAAAAUUGAGUGACUUCUCACGUAAGCAUUAAUAAUAAAUACCGUGUGCUACUAUGCAACCACUCGUAUUCCUGUACUUUUAACACUGAGUGUUUCAACAGUUAACGGUAAAACUUCCGCCGUUAUUUUCAUAAAAUAUUUUUGUCAUUUUCUCAAUCUGACAAUAAUUCUGUUGUGGGGUCCACCAAUGAUUUUGCCGUCGUACGAAUAUUCCCUGCUAAAACGAAUAUUCCCCGGCCAAUUAAAUAUUAUAAAUCAACUUGCGUACUUUGCAAAAUUUAUAAAUAUUACCCACAGCUAUAACAUUAUAUUAAAUUCAUUCCAUAAUAUUCAAAAAUGAUAAUUAUAGAAAAUUCAUCUUUAUUCAUAAAAGAUGGGGUCUUACAACCUCCUCUUCUUAAGAAAUUUCGCCCUCGAAAUUAGGGUACGUACCUGGUAUGUCGAAGAGGUAAGGAUACCUUGAUUUCAUUUCAAAUUCUAACUCCCAGGUCAUUUCUUCAACAUCGUGGUUUCUCCAUAAAACUUUGACUUGAGGUAUAUCCUUAGAGCGUAGAAUAUGUUCCUUCUUAUCCAAGAUUUGAACAGGAACCUCUUCAUACGUUAAAUCUUUCGCUAUUUCGUUAAGUUCUAACUCAAUAAUAUGGUUCAGGUCUUCCACAUAUUUACGUAACAUGGAUAUGUGAAAAACGUUAUGAACAAGAGACAUACUUGGCGGUAAAGCGAGUCUAUAGGCCACAGUUCCUACUCGAUCGAGGAUUAAAAAUGGGCCAAUGAAUCGAGGAUUGUGCUUUCCUCUCUUUCCAAAUCUUGUAACCCCUUUCCAUGGAGCAACACGUAACAACACAUGAUCUCCAAUAUCGAAUUCCACGUUCUUUCGAUGAAGAUCAGCAUAACUCUUUUGUCGAUCUUGUGAGGUCUUUAUACGUUGUCGGAUCGUUUGAAUCUUUUCCGUAGUCAUACGUACCAACUCCGGUCCCAACAACGUUGCUUCACCUACCUCAUCCCAGCAUAUUGGAGAACGACACUUUCUUCCAUACAACGCCUCGAAUGGAGCCAUGCCAAUACUUGCUUGAUAACUGUUGUUGUAGGAAAACUACACCAAUGGUAAGAACUUAUCCCAACUUCCCUUGAAUUCAAGAACACAAAGUCUUAAUAAAUCUUCCAGAUUUUGAAUAGUCCUCUCUAAUUGUCCGUCCGUCUGAGGAUGAUAUGCCGAACUAAAUCGUAAGUCCAUGCCCAUAACUUUUUGCAAACUAACCCAAAAUCGUGAACUGAAUCUUGGGUCUCGAUCAGAAAAUAUGGAUACUGGCAAUGCAGUCUUACAAUCUCGUUUAUGUACAUACGAGCAAGACGUUCAAGUGUAUAAGUUUCUCAUAUUGGUAAGAAAUGAGCAGACUUGGUCAAUCUAUCAACAAUGACCCAAAUUGCAUCUAUGCCUUGAGAAACCUUGGGAAGACCAGUAAUGAAAUCCAUGGUAAUGUGCUCCCACUUCCAUUCUGGAAUUUCAAGUGGUUGCAAUGGACCUUUUGGUACUUGAUGCUCUACCUUGACUCGUUGACAAGUUAAACACCUUGAGAUAAACAACGCUAUCUCUCUCUUCAUAUUGCCCCACCAAAAUGUAUGUCGAAGAUCAUGAUACAUUUUGGUACUCCCAGGAUAGAUUGCAAACGGUGUAUUGUGAGCCUCCAUCAUGAUUUUAUACUUUAAAUCAGGGUCGUUAGGAACACAAAGUCUGGAGUUAACUCAAAGUAUUCCUUCUUCAUCGAUUCUUGCUUCCGGUAUAGCACCUUCUUGUAUUGUCUUCCUUAUACGCAUCAGCUCUAGGUCUGUAGCUUGAGCAGCUUUAACUUUAUCGAUUAAAGUUGGUUCUACUCGUAUAUUCGCCAUCAUCACGUGGGUCCCUAGAGUCUUUAUCUCUAUCUCCAUCCUUUGUAAGUCACACAAAAUGGGCCUUUGCGUUGAUAAUAUCGCACUCGUACCCACAUAUGAUCUUCUACUCAAUGUGUCAGCUACCACGUUCGCUUUUCCAGUAUGGUAUUAGAUGGUAUGAUCAUAAUCUUUCAGCAGUUCAAGCUAACUUCGUUGUCGCAUGUUGAGUUCCUUUUGAGUGAAGAAAUAUUUGAGGCUUUUAAGAUCUGUAAAGAUCUCCACUUUCUCCCCAUACAAGUAAUGCCUCCAAAUUUUAAGUGCGAAGACAACAGUUGCCAACUCUAGAUCAUGAGUAGGAUAAAUAAAGAAUGGAAUAACAAAAGAAAUCACCAUGCAUGCGAUAGACCGCACAGACAUGUUAUUCCAACAGAAUAAUAAUUAAUGGAACCAGGUCAUGCGUAAACGCACAGACAGGAUAUUCUAACAGAAUAAUGAAUAACGGAAUCAGGUCAUGCGUAAAGCACAGACAUAAUGUUCCAACAGAAUAAUAAAUAACGGAACCAGGUCAUGCGUAAAGCACAAACAGGAUGUUCCAACAGAAUGAUAAAUAACGGAACCAGGUCAGGCGAAAUUCGCACCGACAGGAUAUUCCAACAGAAUAAUAAAGAAUGGAAUAACAGAAGAAUUUCACCAUGUAUAUGGUACUUCGCAUAGACAGGUUAUUCCAACAUUAUAAUAAAGAAUGGAACAACAGAAGAAUUUCACCAAGUAUAGGGAAGUCCGCGUAUACAGGUUAUUCCAACGGAAUAAUAGAGAAUGGAAUAACAGAAGUUCUCUUCAUGAAUACAAAAGAAAUAAUACCUCUUACCUUAUAAAGAAGAGUACUCCGACGGGUAGGGCGGAAAUAUACUUGAAGAAAACUUGCACUACGCUCAAAGCUUUCUUAAACUCUAAAGAAAUACGCUCAAGAUUAUAGAAGAGAAUUCUCUGAAAUUUCUGGUGUGUUUAAAAUUCUAACUAAGCAUCCUAUUUAUAGGAGUAUGAAAGAGCACUAUUUAAGAAAAAUAUCACGGACGCAACAGUUUUAUAACUCACGGAUGAUUUACCAACUUUGCAGGCAAUUGAAAUUUCAAACCAAAUCAAGUAAAAACAAAAACCAAAAACAUAAUAUAUAUAUAUAUAUAUAUUAUAUAUAUAAACACAUGUUAUUAAACAUAUAUAUAUAUAUAUAUAUAUAUAAUAUUAAUUACCUUCAUUACACGUUACAACACCCUUCUCCCAUUUCCUGACAUUCAAAUUUCAACACAUAUGGGCCCCACAUGUGGCCCCCACAUGUGGGCCCUACCUUUAUUAAAUUAAAUAACUUUUUACCGAUUAUUUUAAAAAAUGAGUAAAUGGGGGUCCAACAAAUACUUCAUAAAAAAAAUUUCUUCAAUAUUUUUUAACAACAUUUAUCAUCAUUAUUAUAAUUCACAAUAUUAAUCGAUCAGGUCAUUCCCAAGAAAGAGGGGGCUUUCCAAUAAGGAUUUCUCCCUAUUGGCGCGCAAUUAGGUGACCAAACCUCUCCUUGGCAAAACUUCUAUACAUCGUUAAUAUUGCAAAUAAUAAUAUUAAUAACUCUGUCAUCUCAAUUAUUGAUUUAAAAAUAUACAAAAUAUUGACAAUAAUUGAAUCAAAUAACGUGAGAUACUAUACAGCAAUUACUAUAGCAAUAAUUGAACAAAACUGAGUGACUUCUCACGUAAGCAUUAAUAAUCAAUAUCGUGUGCUACUAUGCAACCACGCGCAUUCCUGUACUUUUAACACUAGGUAUUUCAACAGUUAACGGUAAAACUUCCGCCGUUAUUUUCAUAAAAUAUUUUUGUUGUUUUCUCAAUCCGACAAUAAUUCCGUUGUGGGGUCCACCAAUGAUUGUGUCGUCGUACGAAUAUUCCCUGCUAAAACGAAUAUUCCCCGACCAAUCGAAUAUUAUAAAUCAACUUGCGUACUUUACAAAAUUUAUAAAUAUUACCCACAACUAUAACAUUAUAUUAAAUUCAUUCCAUAAUAUUCAAAAAUGAUAAUUAUAGAAAAUUCAUCUUUAUUCAUAAAAGCUGGGGUCUUACAGAAAGCCUCCUAUUUCUUGGGAACGACCUGGUUGUCAUUAUUGUGAUUCUGUAAUAUUAUUUGUGAAUAAUUAAUUAUUGAUUUAUAUGAUAAGAAAAAUAUUUAUUUAUGUGGAUAUAAAUGGAGGAAUUUUUAAAAAAGUUACAGUUAUUGAAAAUUGAUAUUUUAUCUUUUCUAAUAAAAUAAUUCAUUUAGAUAUAUUAUUAUAUUAUAAUAAUAUAAUAAUAGUGAUAUUUUUACAAUGAACGUAUGAUAUAUGAAUAAAUGAGGAGGAAGAGUAUUUUUGUUACAAUAAAUAUUAAAAACAUGUUAAAUAUGUUGGUGGGCCCCAUUUUUGACUGAAAUUUGAUUAUAACCUACAAAAUCGUCUGUAUGUGGAUUUCGGUCAAUUUCUGUUUAGAAUUUAGAAAAACUUAAAGCUCCAAAGUUGUAGAGAAUUGAAUUUUCUACGGAAUGGACAUAAGAUUCGAAUUUUUCUGAUAAAAGGACUAUUUAUUAUGAAUUAUUGAAGUUUCAGAAUAAUUAAUUUUUGGAGUUUUAAAUAUUUUUUUAAAGAAAAACGUUUUUGUUAUGAUUGGUGAGCCCCACAUGUGUUGUAAAUGUGCUAAAUUUUGAUUUUCAAAGUAUGCGUAUGAUUUUUAAUAAAUAAUAUUAUUUUAUUAAAAUUUUUGCUUUGGUGUUCUAAGCCUUUUCCUAUAAAUAGGGUGUUUAGGUUAGAAUUGAAAAUCACACCAGAAACUGAAGUUUUCUCUCUCUAUAUUAUCGAGCGUAUUUUUGUGAGUAUUUUGAUACUUUGAGUGUUGCUACAUGGUGCAAGUUUCCUUCAGCGUUAUAUCUGAUAUUCCAGCUAGAAGUACUAUUCUUUUGAGGUAAGGGAUGUUAUUUUCUUUGUAAAUGAUAUUAUUUCUUUCAAUAUCAUUAUACCGGAAUAUUAGUAUGAAUUUUAUUAUGAAAUUUUUACCUUUUCAUGUCGGGGUUACUAUUCAUGAGUUACUAUUCACGAGUUACUAUUUAUGAGUUACUAUUCACGAGUACUAUUCAAGAAGUAUGAUAAUUUUUCUUGUGGAAUUUCUACCUUUUAGUGUCGGGGUUACUAUUCACGUAUACGACAUUAUUCACGAAUACGGCACUAUUCACAGAAAAAAAAUUAAAAUUUUCUCUUCUUUAUCCCAGAUGUCAUUAUUGUUACUAUCUUUGAUUGUAUCCAUGUUUUAAUAUUCAUUCUUGAAUUUUACUCCACAUAGUAUAUUAUGGGGUGUUUUUGAACAUGGAUAAACCGAAGUACGAAUCCCUAAUAUUUGUUCUUUUGUCUCACUGGAUUCGUUUUCUUUAAAAUAUUUUCCAUCAUCCUCAGUCCUAAAUGAUGAUAUAACUGAAUAUCUUUGGCCUGUAGUGCAAAGAUGAAUGAUUUCCUGAUGAACAUCUUUGGCCCGUAGUGCAAAGAUGAACAGGUGUUGAGAUGAACAUGACCAACUGAUGAAUAUAUUUGUCCUGUAGUGCAAAGAUGAAUAUUUGAUUCAAGAUGUAUAUUAAUUGAUGUUACACAGAUAAAAUAUUGAUGAUGGACUUUUAAAUUCAUAGAUGAUAGUAAAUUUCAUUCUCUACUUAACUCGUUUAAUAAAUAGUUGUUUUCGUUGCAGUUGUUGAUCUAAAACUUGUUGUCUAUUUUAUUCUAUCAGAUUUUUACCUGUUGAAGACUAAGAAUAAUUUAUUGUACAUUAUCUUAGUCAUAAUAUUCUUUACUGGACUAGUUGAGUUCACCCUUUUCUUUUUUGUUCUAUUUUUCACUUUCAGACAAUUCCUCGCGCAUCAAAAAACGGAUAGUAAAGCGAAGGAGACCCACUUCCCACUUCUCCUUCCCCGCCCCAUUUCAGGGGCGGGCCUCGUUCUUAUUGACGAUCCCCGCGCACAACAAGACUACACCCCCAUACCGAGAAAGGUUAUUUCACGGUAAGGCACGGGAGGGGCUUCAACCUUCGAUUGGAAUACGGAU
rnacentral:lncRNA from 1 species